GCAUCUCACUGCUAGCAUGACGGAAUUCUUUUACAUCCUAGAUGAAAAGAUUGGAAUGGGCGGAGACUACGAAUCCGAGGAUGAGAGACAAAGUCGGCAGAGCGGACUUGGAAUAAUAUGAACUAUAGCGCAAAUAUACGGUUUAAUGAGGUUCCACGCGCACGAAGCCAUCCCACUCUUAUCGGAGUAACAAGUGCGUAGUGCGCAGAGGAAGUCUGAUAUCUUUCUGCUCCCCGCGGGCAUGCAGAACACCGCCGACCGCGUGGCAUUUAGAAAGCUGCUGUCAGUGUAAAUCAAAGGCGAUGAACAUCACGGCUAUAGGUAUAGUGCACUCGAUUUUAUUUUCAUUGUCACUCGUCUAACGUUACACAAUACGUACUUGCAAAACAUGCAACCUUUCUCGAACUAAACAGCAGGUAGGCCGUAACACGAGAGUGAUUCUGCUGCGUCGCGUAGCAACGAGCGUGCAAUUGAUGCAGUCGGCUGACGGCAGUUUGAAUCGGCGUUGGUGACAGUGACAGUCAGUUCAACUGCCAACUGAGAAAUGUCAACAAAGAAAUAAAUAAACGGGAUACAUGGGCUAC